UACGGAGGUUCCUAGCGUUGUUCGGAAUUACUGGGCGUAAAGGGAGCGCAGGCGGAUUGAUAAGUCUGAAGUGGAAUCCCGGGGCUCAACCUCGGACGUGCUUCGGAUACUGUCAGUCUUGAGUUCGUGAGAGGAAAGCGGAAUUCAGGGUGUAGCGGUGAAAUGCUUAGAUAUCCUGAGGAACACCAGUGGCGAAAGCGGCUUUCUGGCACGAAACUGACGCUGAGGCUCGAAAGCGUGGGUAGCGAACGGG
rnacentral:rRNA from 1 species